rnacentral:rRNA from 1 species
UAGGGAAUUUUCGUCAAUGGGCGCAAGCCUGAACGAGCGAUGCCGCGUGAGUGAAGAAGGCCUUCGGGUCGUAAAGCUCUGUUGCGGGGGAAAAAGGCAGCAUCAGGAAAUGGGUGCUGACUGAUGGUGCCCCGCCAGAAAGUCACGGCUAACUACGUGCC